UACGAAGGGGGCUAGCGUUGCUCGGAGUGACUGGGCGUAAAGGGCGCGUAGGCGGUGGACACAGUCAGGCGUGAAAUUCCUGGGCUCAACCUGGGGGCUGCGUUUGAUACGUGUUUGCUAGAGUGGGGAAGAGGGUCGUGGAAUUCCCAGUGUAGAGGUGAAAUUCGUAGAUAUUGGGAAGAACACCGGUGGCGAAGGCGGCGACCUGGUCCUUGACUGACGCUGAGGCGCGAAAGCGUGGGGAGCAAACAGG
rnacentral:rRNA from 1 species